GUGAGCAGCUUCUACUCCUGCCACAAACACUGCCUUGUCACAGAUGGAGAAGCAAUGGAGCCAGCUGGCUAGAAGCUGGAACCCCCAAAACUGUGGCAGAGGAAGACUGGGGGAGUCAGCACCAAGAGAGCUACAGGGUCUGCUGCCACAAGACGGAUAGCUUUAUUCUGCUAAGUGCUCCCACCAUGAUGUACUGCACUGCUACAAACCCAAAGCAACUAGGCCAAGUGAUUGAGGACUGA